GGCCCGCCUUCAGCAGCGCGGCAGCCGUGACGACCUUGAAGGUCGAGCCCGGCGGGUACUUCCCGGCCAGGGCGCGGUUCAGCCCGCCCGCGGGCCG
rnacentral:tRNA from 1 species